rnacentral:tRNA from 1 species
CCCGUUGUUGGGCAAUGGAGCGCCCACCGCCCUACGAAGGCGCAACGCAUGCAGGUUCGAAUCCUGCCAACGGGUC